UACGGAGGGAGCUAGCGUUGUUCGGAAUUACUGGGCGUAAAGCGCACGUAGGCGGCUUUGUAAGUUAGAGGUGAAAGCCCGGAGCCCAACUCCGGAAUUGCCUUUAAGACUGCAUCGCUUGAAUCCAGGAGAGGUGAGUGGAAUUCCGAGUGUAGAGGUGAAAUUCGUAGAUAUUCGGAAGAACACCAGUGGCGAAGGCGGCUCACUGGACUGGUAUUGACGCUGAGGUGCGAAAGCGUGGGGAGCAAACAGG
rnacentral:rRNA from 1 species